CCCUCCCCGUCAGCCGCCCUCGCUGCCGCGGUGCGCUGGCUGCAGGAAGCCGCGGCACCGCUUUUGUUGUCAGGGUCCCCGCGAGGAUCGCCGCUCGCCGGCUGCCGCCGCCCUUUCUUACUGCGGCCCGCUCUCCGGCCGCGGGGCCCGGGGCCCGGGCGCCACGCCCGCCCUGCCCAUGAGGGGGCUCCGCGACCACCGCUGCCGCCAGUCCCGGACGGCGCGGCGCUGAGACGGCGGCGGCGGCGGCAGCGCUGCCUCCUCUGCGAGAAGCGGGCAGCGUCGGCCGCAUCCCCGAGGGCACCAUGGAGGUGAAUGCGGGAGGCGUGAUUGCUUAUAUCAGUUCUUCGAGCUCAGCCUCUAGCCCUGCCUCUUGUCACAGUGAGGGUUCUGAGAAUAGUUUCCAGUCCUCCUCCUCUUCUGUUCCAUCUUCUCCAAAUAGCUCUAAUUCUGAUGCCAAUGGUAACCUCAAGAAUGGUGAUCUCUCCAAUAUUGAAGGCAUCCUGAAAAAUGAUCGAAUAGAUUGUUCUAUGAAAACAAGCAAAUCGAGUGCACCUGGGAUGACAAAGAAUCAUGGUGGUGUGACAAAAUUUAGUGGCAUGGUUCUACUGUGUAAAGUCUGUGGGGAUGUGGCAUCAGGAUUCCACUAUGGAGUUCAUGCUUGCGAAGGCUGUAAGGGUUUCUUUCGGAGAAGUAUUCAGCAAAACAUCCAGUACAAGAAAUGCCUGAAGAAUGAAAACUGCUCUAUAAUGAGAAUGAAUAGGAACAGAUGUCAGCAAUGUCGUUUCAAAAAGUGUCUAUCUGUUGGAAUGUCAAGAGAUGCUGUUCGGUUUGGUCGUAUCCCUAAGCGUGAAAAACAGAGGAUGUUAAUUGAAAUGCAAAGUGCGAUGAAGACCAUGAUGAACAGCCAGUUCAGUGGUCACUUGCAGAAUGACACAUUAGUAGAACAUCAUGAACAGACAGCCUUACCAGCCCAGGAACAGCUGCGACCCAAGCCCCAGCUGGAGCAAGAAAACAUCAAAAGCUCUCCUCCUCCCUCUUCUGAUUUUGCAAAGGAAGAAGUGAUUGGCAUGGUGACUAGAGCCCACAAGGAUACCUUCAUGUAUAAUCAAGAGCAGCGAGAAAACUCAGCUGAGAGCAUGCAUCCUCAGAGAGGAGAACGGAUUCCCAAGAACAUGGAACAGUAUAAUUUAAAUCAUGACCAUCGUGGCAGUGGGCUUAGCGGCCAUUUUCCCUGUAGUGAGAACCAACAGCAUCUCAAUGGACAGUACAAAGGGAGGAACAUAAUGCAUUACCCAAAUGGGCAUGCCAUUUGUAUUGCAAAUGGACAUUGUAUGAACUUCUCCAAUGCUUAUACUCAAAGAGUAUGUGAUAGAGUUCCAAUAGAUGGAUUUUCUCAGAAUGAGAGCAAGAAUAGUUACCUGUGCAACACUGGAGGGAGAAUGCAUCUGGUUUGUCCAAUGAGUAAGUCUCCGUAUGUGGAUCCUCAUAAAUCGGGGCAUGAAAUCUGGGAAGAAUUUUCGAUGAGCUUCACCCCAGCGGUGAAAGAAGUGGUAGAAUUUGCAAAGCGUAUUCCUGGGUUCAGAGAUCUUUCUCAGCAUGACCAGGUCAACCUUUUAAAGGCUGGAACUUUUGAGGUUUUAAUGGUACGGUUUGCAUCAUUAUUUGAUGCAAAGGAGCGUACUGUCACCUUUUUAAGUGGAAAGAAGUAUAGUGUGGAUGAUUUACACUCAAUGGGAGCAGGGGAUCUGCUAAACUCUAUGUUUGAAUUUAGUGAGAAGCUAAAUGCCCUCCAACUUAGUGAUGAAGAGAUGAGUUUGUUUACAGCAGUUGUCCUGGUAUCUGCAGGCUCAAAAGGAAAGCUGUUAGGAAAAGCAAACAGUUUAUCAGGCAUUGCAACAAAGACACUUGAGGAGAAAGACAAGCUGUCACUUCAAGGACAGGAAGAAAAAUCCCUGCAUCUGUAGAAGUAUCAGACGUGCCAGUGCCUUGUUAAAAAAAAAAAUCAUGAAAUGAGGAAGAAAAACAUCGGAGAUAAAAGAGGAGAUUAAAAAAAUAGAAAACAAUUGAAAUCAUCUGCAAGCAAGGAUGGAGGACUACAGCCUUGGGGGAGGGAUGUGUUGGAGUAUUGCAACAAAUGGAACAAAUGAAAACACUGAAAUAUAAUUAAGAAUCAGCCUAAGUAUUCAGAUGUACUAUUUACUUUAGAUGACAAAUCUGCGUAAUUGGUUUCAGCUGCCCAGCCCACAUCCAGUUCGAGUUUUGUAACUUUCAAUAGUUUGAGGUCUUAAGCACAUAAACGUUUGCACCUAAUGACAACUGUCUGAAUUCUGGAUCAAAAUUGCUUGCUGUUUCUCAAAAUAUCAAGUUGGGAGAACAGGACAGCUGAAUUAGGAAUUAAGUUUAGCUAAAGAGAUUGGGAUAGGAGAAGCUAAAUUAAAAGAAAAAAUCAUUUACUGUGAAACUGGUUGGAUUUUUGAAGCGUCACUUGUGCUAACCUGUUAUUGGGAUUAGGCAUGAUGCUCCCAGUUUAGGCUUCACUUCCUCCAUGUGGUCAUUACAAUGGCUUUUCUCAUGAGGAGUUUCUCUACAUUUAUCUUUCUGUAUUAAAUCAGUAGCGUAGGCAGUUUUUAUUUCUGUUUUUGGUAAGGUUUUUUUUUUUUCUUCUUUUUUUUGAUGGCUGGCCAGUAUGGGAAUCCAAACUCUUGACCUUAGUGUUAUAAAAACUGAGCUCUAACCAACUGAGUUAACUGGCCAGCCCUUUGAAAUGUUUUUAAUACAACACCAUUUCACUCAGUUUACUCUUUCUUGGACAAAGGUGUAAUCAGAUACAAGGUACUUCAAAAAGUUCAUGGAAAGAUUUGUAUUUCCUUUCAAUUCUAGUUUUCCACAAACUUUUUGAAGUGCCCUUGUACAUUAAUCUGAAAACAAUCCAUAAAACAUAAAAUGACAAACAAUUGUUACAUUGGUUAUUAGGACCUAUGCAAUAUGUGAGCUAAAUUAAUGCAAUAGUAAAAGGAUUAUACAAGUGGUUCUGAAACUUUAGUGUGCAUCAAAAUCAUGACUCAAGUGUUCCUUGAAACACAGAUUGCUGGACCCCAUUCCCAGAGUUUUUGUGCAUUUCUAACAAAUUCCAAGUGAUGCUGAUGUUCCUGAUCCGGAGACCUCACUUUGAGAACCACUUAUUUACUAUUGCUUUGUGUUGCUUCGCCCCCCACGGAUUUGUCACCCCACUUCCCCUGGGUGACGGAGAUGCAAAGGAUUACUCAAAGCCCAUCUCUUCCGAGCAGUGAGAAGCCCCAAAGUGGUUAACUUCCCUGGGAAUGCUCCAGUGAGAGCCAACCCUUCCAUUUGGGAAAUUAACACCAAAUUGGGGUUCUCUUCCUGCAUUUAUUUUCCAGACCAGGAAGUUACAGGAAGAGAACAAAGGUGGGGUUAUAGUUUAACAAUAUGGGCUGGUAACUUUCAGUGAAACAAGCCAGAUGACAUUCCAGUAAGUCAAUUAAGGGGUCCUAUCAACAACAGUUUGAUCUUAGCAAACGUUCCUUCUUAACAGUAGUUUCUCAGUAACAAUCAGUACUCAUCUGUCUUUGAGCCAGCAACCUGCUGUGCCACAAUUCUUAUCUUGCAACAGAGACUUAUAGCCUGAGGAAAAUUUCCUGUCCUUGCAAAGUCAAUAUUUGAAACUGCAAGGCUUUGGAAAACCAGGCCCUGUGAAGUACAUGUGCUUUUUAGUAUAUUCCACAAUUUACACAUUUGCUGAAAAUUUUUUUUAUUUGAUUUGCUUAUGGCUUUGGUAUUCACCUUCCUACAGUUAUAUAGGUCAGAAUCAGAUACUUAAUGAUUGGAAGAGGAGGACAGAGUGUGCAGAUAUUUAUUAAACACCUGGUACUGUAUGUGCCUAGUUCCAGGUUCUUUACAGUCUUAAUCUUCUCACUUAAUGUUUCCUAUGACCAUACAAAGUAUGAUUUACUCUCCCCGCUCAACAUAUAGAAACUGAGUCUUAAAGAGGUAGGGAACCUUCCAAAGGCAAACAGCUAGCAAGUGGCUGAGUUUGAAUUUGGAUCCAGGUGUGCUUGACUGCAAAGACUGCACUAAACAAGAGGGCUUCAAAACAUUCAUCAUAGUUUGAUUUAUUGAAUUUCACAGAAUUCAGUUUAAACUGACCUUACUUGACUGACCACAAGCAAAUUCCUUAAUUUUUGGACCUGUCUCCUUUUCUAAAGAGGUAAGUACUUAUCUCUCAGUGCUGGUAUAAAGAUUAAGUGAAAUAACAUAUGUAAGAGUGCAUAGUACAGUGUGUGGCACAUAGUAAGCAUUCAUUAAAGCUGAACUCCUGUCAGGAUUUAAAAACUAACGCCACCUUAAGUGACAUUACAAGUGGAUUAAUGCGGCAGCCUAAGAUGGCGCCAGGAGGAAGAAGGGUGGGAGUGUCUGUAGGAAUCUUGCCUUAGUCCUUAUUGGCCAAAUACAUGCUUCCGUGCUUAUGAACACUGCAUGAUUGCAAUAGAUAGGCAUUGAGACAGGAUGCAUGCUCUUGUAACCCUUAAGCUGAUUGGAGGAUGUAAAAAACCUGCCUUCCCCAUUUGCCUUUAAAAGCAAGUGCUUGUGUGAUAAUAAACGGAACUGCUCGACAGAACCCCCGCUGCGUCUGAGUGUCCUUUAACCCGGCUGGUUGGGGCUGGUGGUGUGCUCACCUCUCUUCACGGCUCUCUUCCCCCGUCUCCUUCCAAAGGGGACAGGAGGGAAAGAGGAAUCCCGGGCCAUUUGCUCGCCCACCAAAAGGAAUAAGGCGAGGGCUGUUUGGGUCGGCUGGCGGCGGACCCGACAAACUCCCUUUCCUUUCUUUAGAAAUGCAAGGAUUUAAUUCAAGUUCGUCUUAGAAAUAAGUGAGAAAGCUAUGAAUAGGACAGAGACACUCAAAUUCUGGCAUGUCCCAGGGACUUUGAAACACCUUAGUGGAGAGGAAGGCAGCCAAUCUGUUUGUCAGUCAGCAUGCCCUGCAUGAGUCUUCCAGAUUUCUGAAGAGGAGCCCACCACUACAUUUGUGUCAAGUCACCCAGCCCCUCUGAUGACAGUGGAUGUCUGUCCUGAACAACCUGUUCUCACCAGUGCAACCAAAAGGAACCAGACACACUCUAGGAGGCAGCAGGAAGUUGUGAACCAUGAAAUACUAGACUGUCCUCACAAUACAUUGGCUGAAACUGAAAUAUGGGCCCAAGAGGUGAACUGUGGUGAAUCUCCACUCACAGAGGAGCCAGGAUUUCCACACCUACCUGUUCCUGUUUUAUGUCAUGGGUCAACCACAAUGGGGAAAUCUCAAUUCAUCACCAGUGGAUUGUUAUCUGUACUAGCUGAGGCUCAAGGUUUAGCCCUGUGACAACUUCCUGAAGUCCCACUGUUGCCCAAAGGUCACAUUCCUUCCCAGGUCCAAAUGCAUGGAGUAUGCAUAAAGCAAAUGUACUUCACAGGGCCUGGUUUUCCAAAGCCUUGCAGUUUCAAAUAUUGACCUUGCAAAGGACAGGAAAUUUUCCCCAGGCUAUAGUCUCUGUUGUAAGAUAAAGCAUUGCAACACAGCAAGGUUGCUGGUUCAAGGACAGACAGGUUACUUAUUGAUAUGUAAAGAUACUGGGAAAUUGCUGUAAGAAGAGAAUGUUUGCUAAAAUCAAGCUUUUGUUAGUGGAUCAACUUAAUUGCAUUUUAGAAUAUCACCUUGCCUGUCUUACAGAAUGUUACCAAUCUAACUAAAUUAUUGUUGAUUAUAGUGGCUUGGAAAUUUUGUCAAAUUGUCUUAAAAAUUAUUUAGAACGUUAACAAAAGGAAAAAAUGUGUUUAUAACAUUAAAAAGGAUGAAAAGCAA